rnacentral:rRNA from 1 species
UACGUAGGGUGCGAGCGUUGUCCGGAAUUACUGGGCGUAAAGAGCUCGUAGGUGGUUUGUCGCGUUGUUCGUGAAAACCGGGGCUUAACCCUCGGCGUGCGGGCGAUACGGGCAGACUGGAGUACUGCAGGGGAGACUGGAAUUCCUGGUGUAGCGGUGGAAUGCGCAGAUAUCAGGAGGAACACCGGUGGCGAAGGCGGGUCUCUGGGCCGAUACUGACGCUGAGGAGCGAAAGCAUGGGGAGCGAACAGG